rnacentral:lncRNA from 1 species
CCUAGUUCAGUUUAUAACAUACUGAAACUAAUAUUACAUCAAUAGUUCAAACACAAUGAGCAACUCUAAAAAUCAAUGCUAAAACUCUUAGCUGGAUUCUAUACUUAGGGUCAGGAUCUUCAAUUUUAUUUCUUCAGUGAUUGAGUAGCACUUCGUGAAGUUAAUCUAUCGAUUGUGCUUUUCUGCUUUGUAAGUGCGUAAGUUAUUCUGACUGGUGCAUCUUUACAACGCUUCAA